GGGGUUGAUUUUGGAUUUGACAAAAUUUUAUAAUACUAAUUCGCAUGACGAGGUUCGGUUUGCCUCGAUAAAAAACCGAAAAUAAAAUAUCUGCAAAAAAUAAACAGGAAUAUGCUUUAGCAGCUUAAAAAACUGAUUUAAAGCCCAUUUAAAUCUUAUUGUUUUCUCUUACAAAUUAAGAUUAUCUAAAAUGGUCAUAAAAAUUAGAGAUCGCAUAUCAGUAACGUUUUUUUACUAAUAUGUUAAAAAAAUAAAACUCAGUUUCUUAAAUAGGUCUUUAAUAAAAAGAAGCUUAAAAAAAUACAUAAAAGACUAAUCAUGUAGUGUUUUAGUAAAAUUAAAAUUUUGGACGCGGGUUCAAAUCCCGCCAACUCCAA
rnacentral:tmRNA from 1 species